rnacentral:rRNA from 1 species
CCCCCCUUGGAGAGAGAGUUAAGAGGACGUGACACCGGUGAGGUGGAAACGGAUAGAGUCGGCGUAUCUUGCAUUUAUUCAUUUACAUUUAUUUGUAUUUUUUAGCUUUGAGCUCCAUAUUGGGACAAAGUUAAAUUCUAUAAUUAUUUGUGAUGCAUUUACUUGCUUGGUGCGGGGGGAUUUCUGAAACAAAUUUGUGCCCUACAUUUUGAGGCCAGCUUGCUGGUACCCGAAUGUGGUUAGCAUUUUUUGUUUUAGUUGUAAAAAAAGCAUGGCUUACGGACUUUAUGUGGAUUGAUUUGGUUGUAAUUUACGGCCGCAUGCAACCCUUGCUUUUCACUCUUUUCGGUCUGUGUAAUGUUCUCAUACUUAUUCCCCAUGUAAAAGCCGGUCAUCAAUCCAACCCGUCUUGAAACACGGACCAAGGAGUUUAUCGUGGGCCCAAGUUUUUGGGUGUUUAAAACCUAAGGGCGAAAUGAAAGUAAAUGACUCUUCAAGUCAAAUGUGCAACCUUUUCUUUUUGAAAAGUGCACCAUGGCCCCUUUCAAACUGUUUCCCCAAAAGGGUGCCCGAACAUCGUACGGAGUGACUCCCAAAACAUGGAAAUUUAUUCAUGAACGCUGACGACCCCAUAAAAAACUCUGGGGAAACUCAAACGCCCCCAAAACUCUAAAAUCACUCCUGGGACGACACCACGGGCUCUUAUGAUUAUUGCAGCUCUCUAUUUACCAGC